UUUGAUUAGGACGCAGCCUGACGCAGCACGCCGCGUGGAGGAUGAAGGCCUUAGGGUCGUAAACUCCUUUCAGCAGGAACGAAAAUGACGGUACCUGCAGAAGAAGCUCCGGCCAACUACGUGCCAGCAGCCGCGGUAAUACGUAGGGAGCAAGCGUUGUCCGGAUUUAUUGGGCGUAAAGAGCUCGUAGGCGGCUUGGCAAGUCGGAUGUGAAACCCCCAGGCUUAACCUGGGGCCGCCAUUCGAUACUGCUAUGGCUUGAGUUCGGUAGGGGAUUGUGGAAUUCCCGGUGUAGCGGUGAAAUGCGCAGAUAUCGGGAGGAACACCAAUGGCGAAGGCAGCAAUCUGGGCCGACACUGACGCUGAGGAGCGAAAGCGUGGGGAGCAAACAGGAUUAGAUACCCUGGUAGUCCACGCCCUAAACGUUGGGCACUAGGUGUGGGACCUACUUCGACGGGUUCCGUGCCGUAGCUAACGCAUUAAGUGCCCCGCCUGGGGAGUACGGCCGCAAGGCUAAAACUCAAAGGAAUUGACGGA
rnacentral:rRNA from 1 species